UACAGCCGAGUCAGGCUGUGAGUGCAAAAUCAGUGUCGCUCCGUUCCACUCAUUCGUGUUCUCCAUAACGGUCUUUGUGUUUCCUUGUCACCAUCAAAGCUUGAUGGCUUAGCUGGUUUUGAAACUCUUAAAUAAAUUCGUUGACGGAGAAGAAACAUGUCAACUAACUGGCCAAAUUAAGCCUUAAAUCAGAUCCGGUUUGCAUGUCAUUGCAGAUGGAGUUCAUACAGUUUGCACAACUCGGUGAGACUUGGAAAUGGUUAUAGACGAUAUACUAGCCAGAGGCAGUAAAAGGAGAUGAGAGCCGACACUAAUAGAAGACACUAUCAGAUUUUGGCCAUAAAGGACCAAUGGUGCAUGCAUGGAGACGAGGACUAUAAUGCUUCUCACUGAAGAACGGUCUGACCCGGCUUUCCGAUAUCCAACUUUUGCCCUGUGGUUAUUGUUAAGU